UACGAAGGGGGCGAGCGUUGUUCGGAAUCACUGGGCGUAAAGCGUGCGUAGGCGGUUAUGAAAGUUAGGUGUGAAAGCCCAGGGCUUAACCUUGGAAUUGCACUUAAAACUACAUAACUCGAAUUCGGGAGAGGAUAGCGGAAUUGUCAGUGUAGCAGUGAAAUGCGUAGAUAUUGACAGGAACACCAGUGGCGUAAGCGGCUAUCUGGCCCGACAUUGACGCUGAGGCACGAAAGCGUGGGGAUCAAAC
rnacentral:rRNA from 1 species